UCGAGGUUUAGAAACUCGUACUCGUAAUAUUUUCGAAAUUUUAUUCUUCGCACCGAUCCGGUGGCGGGUUUCGGGGUUUCCGCGACGCGAAAAAGCGGUUUUCGCGGCCCGAAAAACCCAACACUAAUGCAGAAACCCCUGCUGAUGUAGUAAAAGAGAUAAAUUUAUGCGAUGAAGAGGUCGACACGUCUAAUGCAGAAAUAUUUGCUGAAUGUUACAAAGGUGAGGAAUCUAAUGAUGCCAACCAAGCAAUAAGGAAAUCUGAGACUCUGGAUUCAUCAAUUUGUCCAUCAAACAAGAAGCCAACCACUAAAAAGAGAAAAGGAAAGGCUGAUGAUGCUUUAGAUGACUUGGUGGGAGAGAUUCACAAGUAUGUUAUUGCUGUUACUGAGGCUAAUGAGGAGAUGAAGGGAAUUUCCACAUACUUCAAGAAACAAACCGAGAGUGGUGAUAGGAAAAUGAAGAUAUAUGAUGAGCUAAUAGAACUUUCUAAAUUCUCUGAGCAAGAAAUUAUGAAUGUCGGAGAGCAUAUUCUCAAGGAUGAACACAAGAUUGACAAUUUCUUUGCAUUGCCAAAGACAUUUACGAGAACUUAUGUGAUAAAGUAGCUCAAUGAGAUCCAUCCAAAAUGAAUUAAAUAUUUGAAUUAGGUUCUUGAUACUUAUGUUUUGAUAUACUUUGGAUUGAACUUGAAUGUAUCUUUUUGUUUAGAUUGAACUUGGAUAUAUCUUUUUGUUUGGAUUGAACUUGGAUGAUUAGGUUCUUGUUCUUGUUUGGAUUUAUUUGUACCUCCGGGGGCAAUUCUGUGAAAAUUAUUUGAUUACGAGGUAAUUUUUUUUUACAAAAAGAUAGGAGGAGAAAUCAAUAAGAUUGUGCUUAUACAUUAUAAUCUGGUCUUCUUGCAAAACAUUUGUUUCUGUUAUCCAAUUCAUUCUUUUAUCUUGUAUGAAUAAUCUUCUUGGACAUCAUUUUAAAGUUUGUAUCCUGUAAAUAUGGUAUUUAUUGCAGUAGGUGCUAUGACAUUCGAAUGAUUUAACUUAUUACUUUGAACCAAUAAGUUUAUGGUUCUCUGUUAACCUGCAUAGUUCCUAACAGUUACUCAUUUAUAUCAUAUACUAAUCAAUUCUAAGCUGCACUGCCCUUUCUAGAUACGGUGAAAAUAUUUUGGAAACAAGCAAGAAUCCGAAUUGGAUUGUUACAAGUUGAUGGUUGUUGGUGAUCUCAUACUUCAUACGUAAGUUUGUAUAUGCUCUUACUUCUAUGCAUAUUUUACAAAUUAGGAUUUUGUUGUUGCUGCUUCAAUGGAACCCAUCACCUUCUCCACUAGAUUGAGCACCAUGAUCUCCACAAACAGCCUAUGGAAUUACUGUGGGAUGAUCUCUAGUUCUCUACACAUAUGUUGUAUUGGACCUGUGCCGCAUUUCAAUUUGGGCUUGGAUACAUAUACGCAUUUCAACUCGUGCCGCCUUUUCAGAGACGUUGCUAAUUUGAACCUCUUCUAAAUUUUUUGAUGACCUUAGUGAGGGAAAAAGGCUAAUCAUUUCAUGAUUUUUGCAUAAACAAUUAACCAAAACGUCCUAAAUUUGCAUGUAAUAACAGGUAUUCUAUGUUUUUAUUUUCUAAACAACAUGAGGAAUUGGUUGGAAUAUAUGCCUCUCAGCUUGCCCGUCACCUUUGUGUGGAUCUCUUUGUCCAAAUGAUGGAGCUCAGAUUAAAUAGCAGGAAUACUUUUCUAUUGAAGUUGGGGUAAUUAGCUCAGAUGAGCACAGUGCAAAGAAUGUUGCGGCUAAGAAGGUAAACAAAUCGCUUGAAGAUGUAAAUCCUGCCAUUGACAGCAUUGCGAGCAGAUUAAGAAAGCGGAACAUUGGAUGAAACAUGUUUUUCAAACUGCUUCAGUAUCUUGUAGACGUUAUUGCACAACUAGGAAAUCAGAUAUUUGAGACAGAUGUUUCGAUGAUUGGCUAAUUUUGUGGCUUUUGAAGUUACACUUGCAGUGCCAAUUCUGGAAGCAUUUCCAGUUCCCUAUUUAAAUAGAAUUGUCUGUCAAAGUUUAGGCAGAGAGUGAAUUGUACUGUUGUCAUAUUUGCCGUCAUUGCACAUUUUAGUAUCAUCAUGAAUUUGUAAUAGUUCUAAAUA